rnacentral:rRNA from 1 species
AUUGAACGCUGGCGGCAUGCUUUACACAUGCAAGUCGGACGAGUGGCGAACGGGUGAGUAAUAUCUCGGAACGUACCGAGUAAUGGGGGAUAACUAAUCGAAAGAUUAGCUAAUACCGCAUAUUAUUCGAGCGGCCGCUAUCUGAUUAGCUAGUUGGUGGGGUAAAGGCCUACCAAGGCGCCGCUCAGUAGCGGGUCUGAGCGGAUGAUCCUCCACACUGGAACUGAGACACGGCCCAGACUCCUAGGGGAGGCAGCAGUGGGGAAUUUUGGACAAUGGGCGAAAGCCUGAUCCAGCCAUGCCGCGUGUCUGAAGAAGGUCGUCGGGUUGUAAAGGACGUUUGUCAGGGAAGCGGUACCUGAAGAAUAAGCACCGGCUAACUACGUGCCAGCCGCCGCGGUAAUAC